GCUGGGUGCAGUGGCACAUGCCUGUAGUCCCAGCUACUCGGGAGGCUAAGUUGGGAGGACUGCUUGAGCCCAGGAGUUCUGGGCUGUAGUGCGCUAUGCUGAUCGGGUGUCUGCAGUACGUUUGGCGUUGAUAUGGUGACCUCAUGGGAGCGGGGAGCCACCAGCUUGCCUAAGGAGGGGUGAACCGGCCCAGUUUGGAAAUGGAGCAGGUCAAAACUCCCGUGCUGAUCAGUAGUGGGAUUGCUCCUGUGAAUAGCUGCUGUACUCCAGCCUGGGCAACAUAGUGAGACCCCAUCUCUU
ensembl:misc_RNA Metazoa_SRP Metazoan signal recognition particle RNA